rnacentral:rRNA from 1 species
AUUGAACGCUGGCGGCAGGCUUAACACAUGCAAGUCGAACGAGUGGCGGACGGGUGUGUAAUGCCUGUGAAUCUACCUUAUGGAGGGGGAUAACUACGGGGCACUGUAGCUAAUACCGCCUACCAUCGGAUGUGCCCACGUGGGAUUAGGUAGUUGGUGGGGUAAAGGCUCACCAAGCCGACGAUCUCUAGCUGGUCUGAGAGGAUGACCAGCCACACUGGAACUGAGACACGGCCCAGACUCCUACGGGAGGCAGCAGUGGGGAAUAUUGCGCAAUGGGCGCAAGCCUGACGCAGCCAUGCCGCGUGAAUGAAGAAGGCCUUCGGGUUGUAAAGUACUUUCAGUAGGGAGGCGUUAACAACAGAAGAAGCACCGGCUAACUCCGUGCCAACAGCCGCGGUAAUAC